rnacentral:lncRNA from 1 species
AUUACAAUGAUUGAUAAAACAAAAUUAAUGCAGUUAAAUUUAUGUAGGGGUUGUUUUGGAAGGUGAAAGACCGUAGCUAGUUUGUACCAAGGUAGUGAACUAGUGGUCGGUUCGUGGAGCUUCAUAUCCUCGUUUACCCUUAAAUUGCUCUUUCCUUGUUGGCAUGUUGGCGAGGGGAGGGAGAGGCGAGACAGAAGCAAGGUAAGGAGUUCAGUUUGCUGGCUGGACCAAUUCGUCUCUAGACACCACGCCUGCACCAACGUACCUCUCUUCAGUCACCACGUCCGUACCAGCGUACCUCUCUUCAGUCAUCUCGUCAUUGAUGCCCUGAUCCAUCUAAUCUACUCAGGUCAGGGUCCGUCCGUGUUUUGUGUCGUCAGGGCUGUGUUACGUGCAGAGGAACAUCGGGGUGCUUGACCUAGAUGCUGGAGAGGUUUCGUUCGGCGGAGUGACGUGCCGCUGUUGUAUGGAUGCGAGCGGACCAUAGUGAAGCACGGCACGGCACGGCACGGCAUAACAGCACAACGGUGAGGUUGGUGUGUGUGAAUUGGUGUGUGAAUUAAUGAAUAAAUAGGGGAACGGUGUAAGUGUAGGUCACUACAGUAGUGAUAUAGGUUUCAGGAUGUUGGUUGGUCAGUAACUUGUGUGUUGGAAGCCAUCGUCACGUAAGAGCGCUUACUUGCUCUAGUUGUUCAUAGGGGUAGAUACUCCUGCUUUCACAAUGUAGGUAGAGCAACGUUAGUCCAAUUUGACUUCAAUGAUGGCUGUAACAAGUGAGGAGUGAUAGUUGUUCAUAGAGGCAGAUACUUCUUCAUUCACAAUGUAGGUAGAGCAACGUUAGUCCAAUUUGACUUGAAUGAUGGCUGUAACAAGUGAGGAAUGAAUUUGUGGUUAUUGUAGGUAUGUAGAAAGAGUAUGUUUAACCCCUUUAGUACUGGGACGCAUGUUGUUGGCGUUAAGAUGUAUGGAUGUCAAGAUUAAUAACUAGCAAGCAAAAUGAAAAUGAAAACGCGUUUUGGUACUGAAGGGGGUAAACGUUAAUACGUUUCAAAUUGUACUGCUGUCAUUGUGGUUCUCUCAUAGAAUAUUUCUUGUAAUCGGCAAGAAAAUAUUUAACGUUAGUCAGUUUGUAGCCUACUGUUGUCAUUGUGGUUCCCUCAUUAUACAAAGAAUAGGUCUUUUAAUCGGUUCAUUGUGGUUCCCUCAUUAUAGAAUAGGUCUUGUAAUCGGCAAAAACGCGAGUGGACAGGCUUUCUUACUCGUAACAUAAACAAGUCUGAUAUCAGGAUAGAAUGCGAAGUAAGGAGGUAAAGUUUGGGGAGGAAGUUCUCAAGUGGUAGUUAAUUGAAUGGACUAGACUCUUAAUCAGGCUGUAUCAUUAAUAACUUGUUGCAUGGCGUGUUAGAUAAGCUUCGCUGUGCAUGACUACGACUGCAAGUAUGUUAGGAUAGGGAAGUGGCGUGAAAAGGACAAGAAUAUAAGUGAAAGUAAAUAGAGGUUCACCAGUGACCUUACAGUGGUCGGGUUGUAUGGGAGGAAUCCAAAUGGGUGUGGAUGGUUCGUAGCUGGGAGGAAUCGGAAUGGGCAUGAAAGGAUCAUGGCAAUGGGAACUGCAUGCAAUGUGAGGAAAUGGGGGAGAGGGGGAGUUAGAGGAAGAGGGCGGGUGUUGGUGGUAGGACUGUACAGAGAAGUGAAAGGCUAAGGCAGUGAGGAAAGGGGGGAGGGAGAGGGGGUGGUGUUGGUGGUGGGACUGUACAGAUAAGUGAAAAGCUGAUUAAGGCAGUGAAGUAGUUAGGACAAUGUGGCAUGGUACAAGUGGAGAUAAUUUAGUGGAACAGGAUACUCCUUUUAUCCUGCUUUUGUUUAACCUUGAUAGUAGCUGGUGAUCCAAAGACUUGAUUUUACCGCAAAAAUGAGUCUCCUGCACGCAAUCAGGGAAGGACUCUACCUCUCACGGCGCCUUCACUGACAACGCCCACUUCCAACACCUCUGCCGCCGCCCAGGGAGACGACUGGCUUAGUGGGUGAUAGCGAGGCAGGUGUGGAGACGGCUUGACGACGAGAAUCGGCAGAUGACGGCAGACACGGAAAGUUAAACUAAACAAACUAAGCAGGAGUUGACGAUCCAAAGGCCUGACCCCACACAGAUCCCGACCCUCUUGCACCGUCAGCUAAGGAGGAACUCUGCCUCGCCUCCCAUCGCACCCCAACGGCCCCUCCGCCAGGAAGGAUCUCUGCCCACCCAACAUUUGCCGCGUCCGCCAGAGAGUCAUCUGCCUGGCCAAUACCAACUACUCCUGCUGUUGGUUCUGCCCAGGGAGAUGACCGAUUUCUGUCUUGUGCUAAAAUUCCCUCAUUGUGGUGUUACUGUACUUUUAAAGCUAUUGUCAUUACUGAAUAAAUACAUUAGGAAAUCUG